CCUANGGGAGGCAGCAGUAGGGAAUAUUGCGCAAUGGACGAAAGUCUGACGCAGCAACGCCGCGUGGGUGAUGACGCUUCUUGGAGUGUAAAACCCUGUCAGUGGGGACGAAACGCAUGAUGAGUAACUGUUUCAUGCCUGACGGUACCCACAGAGGAAGUCCCGGCUAACUCCGUGCCAGCAGCCGUGGUAAUACGGGGGGGACAAGCGUUGUUCGGAUUUACUGGGCGUAAAGGGCGCGUAGGCGGGUCUUCAAGUUGGAUGUGAAAACCGGUGGCUCAACCACCGGCCUGCAUUCAAAACUGUUGAUCUUGAGUCGGGAAGAGGAAAGCGGAAUUCCAGGUGUAGCGGUGAAAUGCGUAGAUAUCUGGAAGAACACCGGUAGCGAAGGCGGCUUUCUGGUCCCACACUGACGCUAAAGCGCGAAGGCUUGGGUAGCAAACAGGAUUAGAUACCCUGNUANUC
rnacentral:rRNA from 1 species